CGUAGGGGGCGAGCGUUAUCCGGAAUCAUUGGGCGUAAAGGGCGCGUAGGCGGAUAUUUAAGUCAGGUGUGAAAACCCAGGGCUCAACCUUGGGAUUGCAUCUGAUACUGGGUAUCUUGAGGACAGGAGAGGAAAGUGGAAUUCCUAGUGUAGCGGUGAAAUGCGUAGAUAUUAGGAGGAACACCAGUGGCGAAGGCGACCUUCUGGACUGUAACUGACGCCGAGGCGCGAAAGCGUGGGGAGCAAACAGGAUUAGAUACCCUGGUAGUCCACGCCGUAAACGAUGAGUGCUAGGUGUAGGGGGUAUCGACCCCUCCUGUGCCGCAGUUAACACAAUAAGCACUCCGCCUGGGGAGUACGGCCGCAAGGUUG
rnacentral:rRNA from 1 species